rnacentral:rRNA from 2 species
UGGGGAAUAUUGCACAAUGGGGGAAACCCUGAUGCAGCAACGCCGCGUGAAGGAUGACGGUUUUCGGAUUGUAAACUUCUUUUCUUAGUGACGAAGACAGUGACGGUAGCUAAGGAAUAAGCAUCGGCUAACUACGUGCCAGCAGCCGCGGUAAUACGUAGGAUGCAAGCGUUAUCCGGAUUUACUGGGUGUAAAGGGAGCGCAGGCGGGACUGCAAGUUGGAUGUGAAAUACCGUGGCUUAACCACGGAACUGCAUCCAAAACUGUAGUUCUUGAGUGAAGUAGAGGCAAGCGGAAUUCCGAGUGUAGCGGUGAAAUGCGUAGAUAUUCGGAGGAACACCAGUGGCGAAGGCGGCUUGCUGGGCUUUAACUGACGCUGAGGCUCGAAAGUGUGGGGAGCAAACA